CCCUUUCUCUCAUUUCUCUUUUUCCUUCUUUCCUUCAUGUUUUCCUUCUUCGGCCGAACAUCCAAGGUUUUGAAGAAAAAAAAUUCGUCGUCGAGUUUUUCAAUGAAUCAAUGCCUCUAUUCCCUUCCUCCCACUCUCCUGAGCUUGGUGGCGAAACAUCUUCGAAGAGGAAGGAAAUCGCCGACCAGUGUGUGCGUCUCCAUGCGAGACGAUAUGUUCUUAGGUGAUUUUUCAUGGUCAACCUGUUGAGGUGGCGUGGAAGACCGGCUAAUUACAAUGAGGGACAGUUCAGGUGGAAGUGUAGAGCCUUGACUGGAUAUUCAUCGGGUAACCGGAUCACCGACUGGUGAACCGAUGGGUCACGUCAAGGACAUGAGUAUCUUGACGGUUCUGAACCUAGCCAUGGCCAUGGCGAAGGUUUAGAGAGGUUUCUAGACCAUGUUGCGUUCCUUUAGUAGUGUUGUAUUAAAUUGGGAUUUUGGCGGUUUAAUGGUUUGGGGGCAUCGUAGCGAGGCGAAGUGCUUGGCAAUUUGCAUUUUGAGUCAGGUUUUGUUUAUUGCAUGGUGUAUUACAGUGGAUCCACUAGUGUCCUUCACUCUGUGUCUGUGACUUGUAUGUCUUUUGCAACUCGGUUGACUUUGAGUGAAAGUUUUCCUUCCUUGUAUCUUUGUGGUGGUUUUGUUAUUUAGCAAGGGGUUUGUGAGCCUUGCGAGGACUCGAGGGUUGAGUGGUGGGUGUCCCUCCUCG